rnacentral:rRNA from 1 species
GACAGAGGAUGCAAGCGUUAUCCGGAAUGAUUGGGCGUAAAGCGUCUGUAGGUGGCUUUUCAAGUCCGCUGUGAAAGUCGGGGGCUCAACCCUCGGAUGCCGGUGGAUACUGUCGGACUAGAGUACGGAAGAGGCGAGUGGAAUUCCUGGUGUAGCGGUGAAAUGCGCAGAUAUCAGGAAGAACACCAAUGGCGAAAGCAGCUUUCUGGGACGGUACUGACGCUGAGACGCGAAAGCGUGGGGAGCGAACAGG